GGGCUCUUAAAAAAGCAUUCGUUUGUAUUUAGUAUACAUUUACAGCUCCCUUUCAACUUGUUUGAAAGGGGGCUUUCUAUUUUU
rfam:Bacillus sp. SA1-12 scf7180000003480, whole genome shotgun sequence.